GGAUCCAGACUUUGAUUAUGGCUCAGGAUGAACGCUAGCUACAGGCUUAACACAUGCAAGUCGAGGGGCAGCGGGAUUGAAGCUUGCUUCAAUUGCCGGCGACCGGCGCACGGGUGAGUAACGCGUAUCCAACCUUCCGUACACUCAGGGAUAGCCUUUCGAAAGAAAGAUUAAUACCUGAUGGUAUGAUGAGAUUGCAUGAUAGCAUCAUUAAAGAUUUAUCGGUGUACGAUGGGGAUGCGUUCCAUUAGGUAGUAGGCGGGGUAACGGCCCACCUAGCCGACGAUGGAUAGGGGUUCUGAGAGGAAGGUCCCCCACAUUGGAACUGAGACACGGUCCAAACUCCUACGGGAGGCAGCAGUGAGGAAUAUUGGUCAAUGGACGAGAGUCUGAACCAGCCAAGUAGCGUGAAGGAUGAAGGUCCUACGGAUUGUAAACUUCUUUUAUAAGGGAAUAAACCCUUCCACGUGUGGGAGCUUGUAUGUACCUUAUGAAUAAGCAUCGGCUAACUCCGUGCCAGCAGCCGCGGUAAUACGGAGGAUGCGAGCGUUAUCCGGAUUUAUUGGGUUUAAAGGGAGCGCAGACGGGUCGUUAAGUCAGCUGUGAAAGUUUGGGGCUCAACCUUAAAAUUGCAGUUGAUACUGGCGUCCUUGAGUGCGGUUGAGGUGUGCGGAAUUCGUGGUGUAGCGGUGAAAUGCUUAGAUAUCACGAAGAACUCCGAUUGCGAAGGCAGCACACUAAGCCGUAACUGACGUUCAUGCUCGAAAGUGUGGGUAUCAAACAGGAUUAGAUACCCUGGUAGUCCACACGGUAAACGAUGGAUACUCGCUGUUGGCGAUAUACUGUCAGCGGCUUAGCGAAAGCGUUAAGUAUCCCACCUGGGGAGUACGCCG
rnacentral:rRNA from 2 species